GCCUGGGUGGCUCAGUCGGUUGGGCGGCGGAUUUCAGCUCAGGUCAUGAUCUGGUGGUCUGUGGGUUCGAGCCCCACGUCGGGCU
rnacentral:tRNA from 1 species